UGCCCUACGGGAGGCAGCAGUGAGGAAUAUUGGUCAAUGGCCGGAAGGCUGAACCAGCCAAGCCGCGUGAAGGACGAAGGUGCGAAGCAUUGUAAACUUCUUUUGUCAAGGGACAAAAUCAGGCUCGAGAGCCUGACCGAGGGUACUUGAAGAAAAAGCAUCGGCUAACUCCGUGCCAGCAGCCGCGGUAAUACGGAGGAUGCGAGCGUUAUCCGGAUUUAUUGGGUUUAAAGGGUGCGUAGGCGGACUGUUCAGUCAGCGGUCAAAGCCCGGGGCUCAACCCCGGCGCGCCGUUGCAACUGGCG
rnacentral:rRNA from 1 species